rnacentral:rRNA from 1 species
AGUGGGGAAUAUUGCGCAAUGGACGGAAGUCUGACGCAGCGACGCCGCGUGAGCGACGAAGGCCUUCGGGUCGUAAAGCUCUGUUCUUGGGGACGAAAAAGAUGACGGUACCCAAGGAGCAAGCCCCGGCUAACUACGUGCCAGCAGCCGCGGUAAUACGUAGGGGGCGAGCGUUGUCCGGAAUUACUGGGCGUAAAGGGCGUGUAGGCGGCUGAGUAAGUCAGGUGUGAAAGGCCACGGCUUAACCGUGGUACUGCACAUGAAACUGCUCAGCUUGAGUGCAGGAGAGGGAAGUGGAAUUCCUAGUGUAGCGGUGAAAUGCGUAGAUAUUAGGAGGAACACCAGUGGCGAAGGCGACUUUCUGGACUGUAACUGACGCUGAGGCGCGAAAGCGUGGGGAGCAAACAGGAUUAGAUACCCUGGUAGUCCACGCUGUAAACGAUGGGUACUAGGUGUGGGCAGUUCACACUGUCCGUGCCGUAGCAAACGCAAUAAGUAUCCCGCCUGGGGAGUACGGCCGCAAGGUUG